GGAGAGGUGCCAGAGUGGCCGAAUGGGGCAUCCUGCUAAGAUGUUGCGCCUCCGGGCGCCGAGGGUUCGAAUCCCUCCCUCUCCG
rnacentral:tRNA from 1 species